CUGCAUGAGAAUAUACUACUUUACAAAGAAAAAGCCAACUGAUGGGAAAUAGCAAGACAGAACAGAUGGCAUUUCAGCACAUAAUUGUUGCCAGCAGGUGAAAAGUGUCACGGUCAGGCAUUUGGCUGACACGGCCAGCUCAAUAAUGACUGAGCCCAUCUCUUCCCAAGUGUCUGCCUCCACUGUCUGGGCUCUUAACUGCUGAGCUGUGCUGAAGCAUCUUCUGACCUUCUCACCAGAGCCAUGUUCUCCUCAACGUGGUCUUCUCAUUUGGAAGCUGACAGUCUCAGCUGAGAAUGUCCUCUGCUCAGAGUUGCCUUUUCUGACCACUGCAGCCAGGCAUGAAACGAGAGAAUGAGGGUGCCGUUCCAGAUGAGUGCACAUUCAAAAUCAUUCAAACUCUACUUGGACGAGGAGAGGCAAAUUAAUAAUGAGAACAAACAGGCCUUUGGAAUUGGGCUUCCUCCUCCUCCCUUCUUUGUAAAAUGGAAUCCUUUUCCUAACAGUGAUGAAGGAAAAAACACCAGAGUGAACACACUGCGGAAGGCACUGGCACAAUUGGUUCUUUUGGUCUAUGCAGACCUCAAUGAAGUAAAGGCUAAACUAUGUAUGUAAUAAAACCAGAUAAU